rnacentral:rRNA from 1 species
UACGUAGGGGGCAAGCGUUAUCCGGAUUUACUGGGUGUAAAGGGAGCGUAGACGGCAUGGCAAGCCAGAUGUGAAAUACCGGGGCUCAACCCCGGGACUGCAUUUGGAACUGUUAAGCUGGAGUGUCGGAGAGGCAGGCGGAAUUCCUAGUGUAGCGGUGAAAUGCGUAGAUAUUAGGAGGAACACCAGUGGCGAAGGCGGCUUACUGGACUGUAACUGACGUUGAGACUCGAAAGCGUGGGGAGCAAACAGG